rnacentral:rRNA from 1 species
AGCGAACGUUUGCGGCGGGCCUAACACAUGCAAGUCGAACGGUAGUCUCUUCGGAGAUGAGAGUGGCGCACGGGUGCGUAACACGUGGGUAAUCUACCUUUGAGUUGGGGACAACCUUGGGAAACCAGGGCUAAUACCCGAUAGUUCCUUUUGAGGUGCGCCUUGGAAGGAUAAAGACCCGCAAGGGUUGCUCAGAGAUGAGCUCGCGGCCCAUCAGCUAGUUGGUGAGGUAAUGGCUCACCAAGGCAAAGACGGGUAACUGGUCUGAGAGGAUGAUCAGUCACACUGGAACUGAGACACGGUCCAGACUCCUACGGGAGGCAGCAGUGGGGAAUAUUGCGCAAUGGGCGAAAGCCUGACGCAGCCACGCCGCGUGAGCGAUGAAGGCCUCGGUCGUAAGCUCUGUGGGAGAGAGAAGAAAGUACGUGUGAAGAGCGGACCUUGACGGUAGUACUCCUUAGU